rnacentral:rRNA from 1 species
GACGAACGCUGGCGGCGUGCUUAACACAUGCAAGUCGAACGAAGUUGCGAACGGGUGAGUAACGCGUAAUCAACCUGCCCUUCAGUGGGGGACAACAGUUGGAAACGACUGCUAAUACCGCCUACUGAAGGAGGUGAUUGCGACUGAUGAGCUAGUUGGAGGGGUAACGGCCCACCAAGGCGAUGAUCAGUAGCCGGUCUGAGAGGAUGAACGGCCACAUUGGGAAGGAGACCCGGCCCAGACUACUACGGGGGGCAGCAGUGGGGAAACUACCGAAAUGGACGAAAGUCUGACGGAGCAACGCCGCGGGAAUGAUGACGGCCUUCGGGUGGUAAAGCUCGGUUAAACGGGACGCGGUACCGGAAUAGAAAGCCACGGCUAACUACGGGCCAGCAGCCGCGGUAAUUC